GUGUAAUUUUCUGGGAAUUCAUUUCUACAUUCGCGCCAUCCGAUUUUCUCGAGAGACAGAUCGAUGAUUAGUAUUUCUCAGAAAUACAGCAACUGUAUCGAUGCUAGCUUCCUGAUAGUUACCAGCAUCGUUUGGCUUUAGGGCUUUUCGAUGGCAGAGGAGAACGAAGCGGCUUCGCGGGACACUGUCAAUGGCGACAAUGCACGAGCUCUCCACGACGUCGUCAAUGGGGAUCGCAAGAGGAUAUGUAUUUGCUUAGGGUGACGACGCUAAUGGCGAGAAUGUACGAGAUAGGCUUGUGUAUGAAAAGGAAGUAUGAAUCUGGACUUUGGUUUCAAGGAAAAUCACUUUCUUUCUGCGAAUGAUGCUCCAAAAAUUUCUCAUACAGGCGCGUUUAUUUUAUACUACCACCACUUCUUCCUUUUUCUUUACAACGUGUAGAAUAAUCUUAUGUCUGGCUGGUCUUUAAGUGAGCUGCCUUAUUAUAUCUUCUCUACC